CAGCAGUAGUGAGCAGGGAGCAGCUAGGUGAGCAGGGAGCAGCUAGGUGAGUAGGGAGCAACUAGGUGAGCAGGGAGCAGCUAGGUGAGUAUGGAGCAGCAGUAGUGAGUAGGGAGCAGCUAGGUGAGUAGGGAGCAGCUAGGUGAGCAGGGAGCAGCUAGGUGAGCAGGGAGCAGCAGUAGUGAGUAGAGAGCAGCAGUAGGGAGCAGCAGUAGUGAGUAGAGAGCAGCAGUAGUGAGCAGGAAGCAGCUAGGAGAAUACGGAGCAGCAGUAGUGAGCAGGGAGCAGCUAGGUGAGCAGGGAGCAGCUAGGUGAGUACGGAGCAGCAGUAGUGAGUAGGGAGCAGCUAGGUGAGUAGGGAGCAGCAGUAGUGAGCAGAGAGCAGCUUGGUGAGCAGGGAGCAGCUAGGUGAGAAGGGAGCAGCAGUAGUGAGCAGGGAGCAGCUAGGUGAGUACGGAGCAGCAGUAGUGAGUAGGGAGCAGCUAGGUGAGCAGGGAGCAGCUAGGUGAGCAGGGAGCAGCUAGGUGAGUAGGGAGCAACUAGGUGAGCAGGGAGCAGCUAGGUGAGUAUGGAGCAGCAGUAGUGAGCAGGGAGCAGCUAGGUGAGCAGGGAGCAGCAGUAGUGAGCAGGGAGCAGC